AAAUUUUGUCUGUUCUUUUGAUAGCUCUCGUUAUCUGUUCAAUAGUGUAUCCGAAGACUCAUAUUCUGACAUACAUCUUUAUUACAACUUCGAUAAGAGGGAGAUAAAUGGAAAGAAUUAGCAAUCUUUAUAAAUUAACUUUUUGUCCUAUUGUACUUAUUGCAUCGUAAAAUAUGUGAUGCGAUAUUAUGUUAAACUAUAUUAUAAAAUGCAUAAUUAUGUGGCUCUAAUAUUGGAAGUUUGGGAAACUAAUGUAAUACUAGUAAUGUUAGUAAUUUUUUUUUUAAUACACCCGUUAUGACUGUACAUUUAUUGCUUAUGAUGGAGUUAUGACUCCUCGACUUCGGAUUGACGUACAUUUUGAAUUGCCACCAUUCCCCAAAGUUUCGGUUUUUAUUUUGAAGUUAUGUCUCUUCAGUAGCAUAUUCUUGAAAAACAGAAUGCUUACUUUUUCAAAACAAGGCCUACACAGUGCCGUGCCUGAUAUAUGUGCAAGGCGUGCAUCCCAUACGGGCUACCAAAGUGAAUAUUGCAAAAACAUAAAACAAGAUAUAAAAUAAAAUUAAAAACCAAUAAAACGGUACAUAUAAAAGUAAAAAACAUUGUUUCACAGCCAUAUAAUAUGCUUUAAUAUAUUUUUAAAAACAAUCUUCGAGGCAUAUUUUCUAAUUUAUUUGUCACACUUACGAUCGUUUUAACUUUGCCCGUUUCUGCAGCAUCUGGCCGACAUUCUUUUCCAAAUUGAAGAUACUCGAAAACUAUUUAAGAGCAACAAUGUAGCAAGAAGGCCUGGCAAAUUUAUCAAUUAUAGCAAUAGAGCAUAAAUUAUUGGAUGAAAUUGAUUUACGCCAGCUUAUAUCGGAAUUUGUUCUUAAUAAAAUACGCCACACUUAUUUCUUGUAAGUUGUUGUUUUCCUAUUAAUAUAUUAUUUUUGGAAAAUUAAAUUAUUUGUUAUCUAAUUAGAUAUUUAAUUUUUAUGUGUAGUGGAAUUUUGAAGUUUAUUUAAUAUUAGUUAUGUGCAAUGAAAAUUUUGUAAUUUAUUACAGUUUCCAAGAUAUUCUUCAUUUGUAUUAUGCUUGCUACAUAUUGUAUUAUUACGAUAAUUUCUAAGCUGUUAUGUUAUGACUGUUAUUAUUUACCAUCUUCUUUUUGGAAAGCUUCAUUAAUAAUCAUUCUGAUUUUUAUUUUAUUGAUUGAAUAGGGGAGGUCAAUUAACAGUUGCACAUAGGCGGCUGAAUUUCUUGGCCCGGCACAAAUAAAGAUCCAUCAACAUUGAACCAACGGUAAAUAAAAGAUGUUUAAGAAAUAAAAUCAAAUGGAGUCCAUUUUCAACGGUUCUUGAGAUAUUUUCAUAAUUAUCGGACCAAUUAAAUUUUUUACAAAUUUUUGUCACUCGGAUCUUAUGUCCCUAUAUUUGAUAAAAAU
rnacentral:lncRNA from 1 species